GGUCUAAUAGUGUAGAGGUUAUCACACGGGAUUCUGAUAUUUCACAUUUUAAAUGGUAUAUAUUCCCGUGACCCAGGUUCGAGUCCUGGUUAGACCU
rnacentral:tRNA from 1 species